UACAGAGGUCUCAAGCGUUGUUCGGAUUCAUUGGGCGUAAAGGGUGCGUAGGCGGCGCGGUAAGUCGGGUGUGAAAUCUCGGAGCUUAACUCCGAAACUGCAUUCGAUACUGCCGUGCUUGAGGACUGGAGAGGAGACUGGAAUUUACGGUGUAGCGGUGAAAUGCGUAGAUAUCGUAAGGAAGACCAGCGGCGAAGGCGGGUCUCUGGACAGUUCCUGACACUGAGGCACGAAGGCCAGGGGAGCAAACGGG
rnacentral:rRNA from 1 species